GGACGACUAGUUCAGUGGUAGAACAUUCGACUCACAUUCGAAAGGUCGUUGGUCCGAUUCCAACGUCGUCCA
rnacentral:tRNA from 1 species